rnacentral:rRNA from 1 species
AUUGAACGCUGGCGGAAUGCUUUACACAUGCAAGUCGAACGGUAGAGGGGGCAACCCCUCGAGAGUGGCGAACGGGUGAGUAAUAUAUCGGAACGUGCCCAGUCGUGAGGGAUAACGUAGCGAAAGUUACGCUAAUACCACAUACGAUCUAAGGAUGAAAGCGGGGGAUCGCAAGACCUCGCGCGAUUGGAGCGGCCGAUAUCAGAUUAGGUAGUUGGUGGGGUAAAGGCCCACCAAGCCAACGAUCUGUAGCUGGUCUGAGAGGACGACCAGCCACGCUUGAACUGGGACACGGUCCAGACUCCUACGGGAGGCAGCAGUGGGGAAUUUUGGACAAUGGGCGAAAGCCUGAUCCAGCCAUUCCGCGUGCAGGAUGAAGGCCCUCGGGUUGUAAACUGCUUUUGUACAGAACGAAAAGGUUUCUACUAAUACUAGGAGCUCAUGACGGUACUGUAAGAAUAAGCACCGGCUAACUACGUGCCAGCCGCCGCCGUAA